GACGAACGCUGGCGGCGUGCUUAACACAUGCAAGUCGAACGGAAAGGCCCUGCUUUUGUGGGGUGCUCGAGUGGCGAACGGGUGAGUAACACGUGAGUAACCUGCCCUUGACUUUGGGAUAACUUCAGGAAACUGGGGCUAAUACCGGAUAGGAGCUCCUGCUGCAUGGUGGGGGUUGGAAAGUUUCGGCGGUUGGGGAUGGACUCGCGGCUUAUCAGCUUGUUGGUGGGGUAGUGGCUUACCAAGGCUUUGACGGGUAGCCGGCCUGAGAGGGUGACCGGCCACAUUGGGACGGAGAUACGGCCCAGACGCCUACGGGAGGCAGCAGUGGGGAAUAGUGCACAAUGGGCGGAAGCCUGAUGCAGCAACGCCGCGUGCGGGAUGACGGCCUUCGGGUUGUAAACCGCUUUCGCCUGUGACGAAGCGUGAGUGACGGUAAUGGGUAAAGAAGCACCGGCUAACUACGUG
rnacentral:rRNA from 1 species